CGCUUCAUUGCUGUCAGGUGAUACACCUUCACUCGCGCAGCGUGGGCGGAGUCUCGUACCUGUGCUCGUGAGUGCUGUCCGCCAGGUUUGGGCAGUUUGGAUGCAAACAAAACAACGGAUUAUUUACCAAGAGAUAUGCAUGUAUGGACUCAUUUCGAUUAAACACUUCUGAGUGUUUACGCUGCAGAAAACUGACGAGCAACACUACAGUCCUUCAACAAACAGAUGAGGAAGAGGAGGAGGAUGGCGGUCCAGCAUACAAAGAGAAAGAUGCUAAAUUAACCAAGAGAAGUGUCAGCGCUGAAGGAAUGACAGACGUUACUCAGACACCUGUGAACACAGCAGUGUUUGGAGUCCAAGACAGUGAUCUUUAUUAUAUAUUUAUAUAUUUAUUAUACUCCUGACUGGACUAGCAAGGCGUAUUAGAGACAAUGAGAAA
ensembl:lncRNA